CCUGCAGGGCUCUGAGGAAAGUGGGCAUUGCAUUUGGGAAAGUGCUGUCCAGUGCAGAAAUUACCAGUUUGUCAGUGGAAUGAGAUAAGAACAUCUGUCUCCUGCUAAGUAGGAGCCACAUUCUUUCAGGUCAGGAGACUGAAGAGAAUAGAGGUACUUAAUAAUUCCUCCAAAU